rnacentral:rRNA from 1 species
CCUACGGGUGACUGCAGUGGGGGAUAUUGCACAAUGGGGGGAACCCUGAUCCAGCGACGCCGCGUGGGUGAAGAAGCGCCUCGGCGCGUAAAGCUCUGUCAGCAGGGAAGAAAAUGACGGUACCUGACUAAGAAGCCCCGGCUAACUACGUGCCAGCAGCCGCGGUAAUACGUAGGGGGCAAGCGUUAUCCGGAUUUACUGGGUGUAAAGGGGGCGCAGACGGCGAUGCAAGCCAGGAGUGAAAGACCGGGGCCCAACCCCGGGACUGCACUUGAAACUGGGUGGCUGGAGUGCAGGAGGGGUAGGCGGAAUUCCUGGUGUAGCGGUGAAAUGCGUAGAUAUAAGGAGGAACACCAGUGGCGAAGGCGGCUUACUGGACUGCAACUGACGUUGAGGCCCGAAAGCGUGGGGAGCAAACAGGAUUAGAUACCCCAGUAGUC